AGAUGUUCUUUAGAAUAGGCAUUUGCAUUGAUCUUUUGUUAUUAUUGAGUUUUUUAAAUUGUACCUUCAUUGUUGCAUAUAGCUUUGAUAAAUGAUUUUCAAUUUUUUUCCUACAAGAUUAUUAACUAUUGAGAUGUCAAAAGUAUUAAGUUAUAGAUGCUAAGAAUAAUUAGGAUAGAAAGGUCUUUGUUGAGUAGAAGAAUAUAUUGUGUUAUUAUAAGCAAACUCUACCAAUAGUAAAACAAUUGUCCUAUCAUCUUCAUGGUAGUUAAUAAUAUAUCUUAAAUAUUAUUUUAAAACUUAAUUGAUUCAUUCCAUUUAUCCAUCAAUUUGAGGAUGAAUGUUCAAAGAUAAUUUUAUAUCUACCUUUAAUAUCUUAAAAAAAUUCUCUAAAACUUUGAUACAAACUAAGUUUUUAUACUUAAUAUAAUAUUUAUUGGU
rnacentral:lncRNA from 1 species